AUUGAACGCUGGCGGAAUGCUUUACACAUGCAAGUCGAACGGCAGCACGGGGCAACCUGGUGGCGGGUGGCGAACGGGUGAGUAAUACAUCGGAACGUGCCCAAUCGUGGGGGAUAACGUAGCGAAAGUUACGCUAAUACCGCAUACGAUCUACGGAUGAAAGCGGGGGAUCGCAAGACCUCGCGCGAAUGGAGCGGCCGAUGUCAGAUUAGGUAGUUGGUGGGGUAAAGGCUCACCAAGCCGACGAUCUGUAGCUGGUCUGAGAGGACGACCAGCCACACUGGACUGAGACACGGCCCAGACUCCUACGGGAGGCAGCAGUGGGGAAUUUUGGACAAUGGGCGCAAGCCUGAUCCAGCCAUUCCGCGUGCAGGAUGAAGGCCUUCGGGUUGUAAACUGCUUUGUACGGAACGAAACGGUUCUCUCUAAUACAGGGGCGUAAUGACGGUACCGUAAGAAUAAGCACCGGCUAACUACGUAGCCAGCAGCCGCGGUAAU
rnacentral:rRNA from 1 species